UGGGGAAUAUUGCACAACGGAGGGAACUCUGAUGCAGCGACGCCGCGUGAACGAAGAAGGCUUUCGAGCCGUAAAGUUCUUUUAUAGGGGAAGAUAAUUACGGUACCAUAAGAAAAAGCCCCGGCUAACUACGUGCUAGCAGCCGCGGUAAUACGUAGGGGGCUAGCGUCGUCCGGAAUCACUGGGCGUAAAGGGUUCGCAGGCGGAAUAACAAGUCAGAUGUAAAAGGCAUGGGCUCAAGCCAUGUAGGCGUUUGAAACUGUAAUUCUUGAGAGGAGGAGAGGUAAGUGGAAUUCCUAGUGUAGCGGUGAAAUGCGUAGAUAUUAGGAGGAAUACCUGUGGCGAAGGCGACUUACUGGACAGAAAUCUAACGCUGGGGAACGAAAGCGUGGGUAGCAAACAGA
rnacentral:rRNA from 1 species